rnacentral:misc_RNA from 1 species
GGAAGGAUCAUUAACAAAUCCAAUAAUUGCUGAAGAACACUUGUUCUUUUUGCAAAUAUUAAUCCGUUGGCCGCUCUUAGAGCAGCUGACUGUGAUAUAAAUGCGUGUUAUGUUGACAGUGUGUGUAUAAAUUAAUAUUGACAACUUUUAACAAUGGAUCUCUAGGCUCUUGCAACGAUGAAGAACGCAGCAAAGUGCGAAAAGUGUUGCGAUUUGCACGAAUCUGUGAGUCAUCUAAUCUUUGAACGCGAAUGGCACUGCUAUGCAAGUAGCAGUAUGUCUGUUUGAGAAUCGCAAAACACGAUCAACUCUAGUUAAGAGUUGGGAUUGACCUCAUAUGCUCUCUAGCGUAUCUGGUUUGAAUGUAUUAAGUUGAUGAGCUUCCCAACAUUGCUCAAUGUGUGCUAGCGAGACAGUCGUCCCGAUCUCACAUUACAGUUUUGUUGCAAGGUUCUAUGCACAGCUUAUUAUUUUAUUUUAUCAAGUACGAUCUCAAAUCAGACAAGAUUACCCGCUGAACUUAAGCAUAUCAAUAAGCGGAGGAAAAGAAACUAACAAGGAUUCCCUCAGUAACGGCGAGUGAAGCGGGAAGAGCUCAAAUUUAAAAUCUGGCGUAAAAGCCCGAAUUGUAGUCUAAAGAGGCGUUAUCGGACGCGAGUCUGUCGUACAAGUUCCCUGGAAUGGGACAUCACAGAGGGUGAGAAUCCCGUCUGGACGGUGGACUAGCGGCCAUAUGAGACGUUCUCAAAGAGUCGAGUUGUUUGGGAUUGCAGCUCAAAAUGGGAGGUAAAUUUCUUCUAAGGCUAAAUAACGGCAAGAGACCGAUAGCAAACAAGUACCGUGAGGGAAAGAUGAAAAGCACCUUGAAAAGGGAGUUAAAAGCGCGUGAAAUUGUUAAAAGGGAAACGAUUGAAGCCAGUAGGACCAUGGAGAGUUCAGCGGUACCCAUUGAGUAUUGCCGCGAUGAGAGCGUUUAAGUGCGCCUCUAGCGGUAUGCGCAAAUGGACUAUCGUGCAUUCUUUCCAUGGUUAGUCAGUGCCAAUUUGAAUCGCCGGAAAAGGACUCGGGGAAAGUGGCCAAUAUAUAUUGGCUUUAUAGACCCUUGUAGAUACGGCGAAUUGGAUUGGAAUCGACAACAGCUAACGGGGACGUGUAUAUCUGCAGUUGUGGACAUUUGAGAAUCAAUUGAGUCUCAGAUGGCAUCUAGCUGGGAAAAGACAUCUUAGAUGCUGUAGUGACUACUGACGAAAUGGCUUUAAACGACCCGUCUUGAAACACGGACCAAGGAGUCUAACAUAUAUGCGAGUAUUUGGGUGGCAAACCCGGAUGCGGAAUGAAAGUGAGUCGAAUGGGAUCCCGCUAGUCGGGCGCACCAUUGGCCGAUCUUGAUAUCUCUUGAUAGAUUUGAGUCAGAGCAUAUCUGUUGGGACCCGAAAGAUGGUGAACUAUGCCUGGAUAGGAUGAAGCCAGAGGAAACUCUGGUGGAGGUCCGAAGCCGUUCUGACGUGCAAAUCGAUGGUCAAAUCUGGGUAUAGGGGCGAAAGACUAAUCGAACCAUCUAGUAGCUGGUUCCCUC